rnacentral:rRNA from 1 species
GAUGAACGCUGGCGGCGUGCCUAAUACAUGCAAGUCGAGCGAACGGACGAGAAGCUUGCUUCUCUGAUGUUAGCGGCGGACGGGUGAGUAACACGUGGAUAACCUACCUAUAAGACUGGGAUAACUUCGGGAAACCGUAGCUAAUACCGGAUAAUAUUUUGAACCGCAUGGUUCAAAAGUGAAAGACGGUCUUGCUGUCACUUAUAGAUGGAUCCGCGCUGCAUUAGCUAGUUGGUAAGGUAACGGCUUACCAAGGCAACGAUGCAUAGCCGACCUGAGAGGGUGAUCGGCCACACUGGAACUGAGACACGGUCCAGACUCCUACGGGAGGCAGCAGUAGGGAAUCUUCCGCAAUGGGCGAAAGCCGACGGAGCAACGCCGCGUGAGUGAUGAAGGUCUUCGGAUCGUAAAACUCUGUUAUUAGGGAAGAACAUAUGUGUAAGUAACUGUGCACAUCUUGACGGUACCUAAUCAGAAAGCCACGGCUAACUACGUG